UAGGGAAUCCUCCACAAUGGACGCAAGUCUGAUGGAGCAACGCCGCGUGAGUGAAGAAGGUCUUCGGAUCGUAAAACUCUGUUGUUAGAGAAGAACACGAGUGAGAGUAACUGUUCAUUCGAUGACGGUAUCUAACCAGCAAGUCACGGCUAACUACGUGCCAG
rnacentral:rRNA from 1 species